CAGAGUCCACAGAGGUGCCCAUAAGGUUUCUUCAGAACUGGGAAAGAGGUGACUUAUAGACAGGUUAUACUGCGUUAGUGUCCCCAUGCAUCAAAGACAGUUGACAUCACUUUUAUAUACUUAACUGAAGAAGGUGGUGCAGGAUUUAACAACAAACUUUGUUUAGGUCCUAUACAACCCGUAAUUAUCUUCAUUUCAGAUUCCAUAUAUGGAAUUCUAGGAAUCAAGGAUUUAGUGUUUCCACAGCAGAUCAAGGGAAAGAGUCUACAGUUAACCCUAUAGAUGGAUAGGUAGGUAAGUAGAUAGAUAGAUAGGUAGAGAGAUAAAGACACAGAGAUAGAGAGAUAAAAUUUUAAAAAGUCCUGCUAAAAUGAAGAAACGGCAGGACUUUCACACAAAUAAAUGAGUAGAACUGGGCUUUUGAUGGAGAGAUGGGAAUGAAGAGAACUUUGUUUAAAGGCAGUUAUGGUGAAGAAAAAGACAAGCCCUGUAAUAUCUAUCCCAAUUUAUAAGCCCACAUUUACUUGUUUGUUAAACUCAGUGGUCUGUGUCCCAGUAGAAUAGCGGCUCCAUGAAGAAAAGCCCUGUUCUGUUUCAUUGAAAAUAUGUAGAAACACCACAGUGCCUGGAACAGAGUAGAUGCUCAAUUAAUGUUUGUUGACAGAAGAAAUGAAGGAAUGUCUUGGCUAGCAGCUGUUGGACGUCUACAGUAAACAUCUGUGUAGUACCAUCCCAGGUUUUAAUGAUCUUCUGUUGCUGUAAGAAUUAUUAAUGUUGAAAAUAAUGAGAUUAGUUCUAGUUGUAUGGUAUUUUCAUUGUAAAAUGUUUGCAGAGCUAUUAACAGCAAAGAUGUGCAUCAAGUUCCAUUGUCAAAAUAAAUGGCUAACACACUCCUUAGCAUCACUGUUUGGGGGAAAUAGCCAAGCAAAACAUUUGUGUAACAGAGCCUCCAUCCUGUUAGAAUACAGAUUAGGUCAUUAAGAAGCAAUGCAUUACCUCCACUUACCAGUGUUUGCAUACAGUGAAGUCUAUUAAUUGAAUAAGCAGAGAGCACACUGAUACACACCAUCUCAUUCCAUCAGAGAUUACUUCUCUGUCUUUUUCAAGAAAUUCUGCCUUUAAUCCUGAGAAUGGAUCAAAAAGAGAAAUAGCAAAUUUUUAAAAGACCGUUCCUUUUGGUCUUUGUAUUGCUUUGUCACUGAAUUUGUAAAUUUCACUAGUAACUUCCUUUCCUUAUAGAAUGCCCCACGGGGGUCACACAUUAGGUCUGAAAUCAUCUGCGAGAGUAAAUGAAAAGAAAUAUGUAGGAAGGUUCCAGCCGCCUCUCUUACUAUCAGAAGGAAAGCUAAAUGAAACUCGGCAUCAAAUAACAUAGCAGUGUGUUCAUUCAGACUUUUAAUUAAACUCAGAGAUUAAUAGAUCUCUAAAGGAGGUGUUUUAACAAAUUAUGCAGCUGAGAAUUCUCCUUGGUUCCACCUUCCGUGGUCCCUACUCUCGAAAAGUCAUUGAUGGAGCACCACUUGUGGCUCCAUUCACCCUUCCUUGUCUACUUCUCCAAAUGGAAGGGGGUGACAGCUGCUCCUCAUUCUUAUUUAGGGUUGGUUUAUUCUAGUCUUCCUUCUGCUGUGACAGAGGGGUCCUGCCCUAUAGGGAGAGGCCUGCAGCGCAGCGGUCCAGUGUAUAUAAAUGAAUAAUGAAGUAAGGACAGAGCCUGCCUGCCCAGAGACCUAAGACUUAUGCCACUAACUGCUUCAUCAGUAAUAAAAGUCCUACUUUAUUCUGCAUUUACCUGAUACAUCACUUCCAAUUGAUGCCAAGACUAGAAAGAAGAAAUAAGUGGUUCUUUUUCCUUUUACAUCUCCACAGAUUCAACAAUAAGAAAACAAAUUCACCCUCCCCAAAUCAAUCCCAUCACUCAAAUAUAAGCACUGUGAAAAAUCUCAUGGAUUUUCUUUCAUUGUUUUAUUGCAGAUGUGAGUGUGUGGUUAUAUAUCUGAUUCAGUGUUUAAAAAUCCUCUUGAUUAUGAUGUGUCUAUUUCUGCUUCUUUUUCUUUUUGAAUACCAAGAAAUGUAAAAGCAACCUAGACGGUUAGGGCUUUGCAACUCCCAGUGAAAUGCUACAUCAUCUCUAAAACAUUGUUGAAAGUAGUAGAUGCCUGAAGCUCAUUAAGAGAUCUUCACAUCCUUUGGGAACCCCUUCGCAGUGCUGUUUUUCAGCACUCCUUGGAAGCAAUUUUCUAGGUGAGCUCCAGUGGAUACUGUUACCUUGUUGUCCUAAUCCAGGGGUUGGCAAACCACAACCCACAGGCCAAACCUGACUCUCCAUUUCCCCUCCCUCACCUGUAUUCAUAAGGCCAAUCCGCUAAGAAUGUUUUUUACAUUUUUAAAGAGGUUUUUAAAAAAGAAGAAUAUUUGAAGUUCCCUUGGUGGCAUGAGAGAAAUGAAUCUGACUAGGAAAGGGAGGUUGUGGGUUCGAUCCCUGGCCUCGCUCAGUGGGUUAAUGAUCUGGCAUUGCCAUGAGCUAUGGUGUAGGUUGCAGACAUGGCUCAGAUCCUGCAUUGCUGUGGCUGUGGUGUAGGCCGGCAGCUGUGGCUCCAAUUAGACCCUAGCCUGUGAACCUCCAUAUGCCACAGGUGUGGCCCUAAAAAAAAGCAAAAAAAAGAAAGAAUACUUAAGAGAGAUCUGUGUGGCACACAAAGCUUAUAAUAUUUACUAUCUGACCCUCUACAUAAAAACUUUGUCAGCUUCUAUCAUGGUUAUAUUUACAUGUAUUGUGAAUAUUCAAAAUUAUCCAAUCACUUAAAGAGCAUGUAAAUAUAAUCUGAAAUUUGUGAGGCUUUGACAAGCCUAAGUGCACCAUCUAAAUGUGUAGGAUAGCAUGUAUUAAUGUUUAGUGAUGCUGAGGUCAGGGGUCAUGGCUGGAGGCCUCUUGAAAGAGGUGACUCUCAGGGAUGGAAAAUUUUAUUAAUUUCUAAUCCUAUUAGUUCUGUUUUCCCAGAGAACCCUAACUAGUGCAGUAUGGAUUUGGGGGCCCUGUCUAAGAUGCUAUGAUCACUAAAAAAAAAAAUCCUAUAAUCCUCUUAUAGGAGAAUUUGAGCAACUAUCAAAUAGUUAUUAAUAAAGUAAUGACAGGACUUUCUUUUUUGGCCAUACCUACAGCAUGCAGAAGUUCCUAGGCCAGGGAUCGAAUCUGUGCCACAAUAGUGACCUGAGCCACAGCAGUGACAAUCUCAGAUUCUUUAAUCACUAGGCCACCAAGUAACUCCUGGCUGGGCUUGCCUUCUUAUGUUUUUUGUUUUUUGCUUUUUUUUUUUUUUUCUUUUUAUGGCUGCACUUGCAGCAUACGGAGGUUCCCAGGCUAGGGGAUGAAUCAGAGCUAUAGCCACAGCAACACCAGAUCUGAGUGGAAUCUGUGAGCUCUGCCACAGCUCACAGCAAUGCCAGAUCCUUAACCUACUAAACUCACACCCUCGUGAAUACUACUUGGAUUCCUAACCUGCUGAGCCCCAAUGGGAACUCCUGGCUGGGCUUUCUUAACGCCAAUUAUAGACAGGAUCACAGACACAAAAAGGGUUUUCUGACCCAGGGCCCUCAAGGUGUUCUCUUUUCCCAGCUCUGCAGUCUCUGUGGCCACUCUCCUGAGCCCCUUUUGCCUUUCUUGGCUUCUGGGGAGGAAUAGUGGGUCCAGGGCAGGGUACAGCAUUCACCUGAUAACUUAUUACAGCCAAGCCCAUGUAAAUACUGCAUCAUUUUAAAUUUUCAUAUACUGUAAUCCAUAAUGGCUCCCAUAACACCAACUACAUUCUCCCCACAACGUAUCGUGCAUUUUAAACUAUCUAUAAUGAUACAAUUAAACAGUAGGCCAUCAGGGCUCACAGGAGUCAUUAGCUCAAAAUGUUUCAACUUGCAUUAACCUGGCACCAGGGACAGUUUUUGCCUAAAGGAAUGAUGGGUCUGUUCACCUGGGUGCCCGAAGAAGGAGAGCCCCCACUCUCAGUCCACUCUUUCUCAAGGGAGCAGGACCUUUAACUGAACUUGGCAGAAUGGACUAGGAAAGAUGGAAACCACAGCACCAGCCCAGGAAACAGGAAGGAGGUCUCAGGCCAGGAGGAGAUGGAGAAGGUCACUUGAGCACCUUUUCUCCAUCCCUUUUACCCCUCCAGUGAAUUUUUUUAUUAUUUUUAUUUAUUUUUUAGUGAAAGAGCACCAAAGAUGUCCCUCCUUGGCACACUCAGAAUGGCACAACACUUUCUAUAAAAAGCCUUCGGUCUUGGGUAUGUAGCUUCAGUGAUUCAAACCUACAUCAGUGUGUAUUAUUUUAAUACAUUGCAUAGGUCAGAUAUGCAGGGACACAAAAAUAAUAGACUGAAACAGUGAUACAGUCCUGAACCAUGUGUGCUGAGAAUAAUACCUACAGCAUUUUGUACUGGGAUGAAAAAUUCUCUGGUGGCAUUUUCAGUGCAUUAAUUCAAUAACCCUUCCUUCAUUUAAAACUGCCGUUAGAUUUUUCUCUAAAAAGUUUCUCCUAAAAGGUCAUCCCCUGUGCCUUCACAUAGAAAGCAUUGAUAAAGAGGAUAUAUUUAAUGUUAUAUUCAUCUCUGCUCAUCCAUAGCAUACAAGAGUAUGUUCUAUAGGGAGAUUUGUUCACUAGUAAUGGCCAUACUGUAAAUAUAUCUUUCUUGGCAAGUUUUAGAAGGCAUUUUGAACAUUGAUAAACAACAAAAAUAGAGAACUUAAUUGAACAAUGGCAUUUGAGUUAGUUUGAAUGAAAGAGAGCAAAGGAUAAACAGAUAUGGUAUUUCUGGCAGAUUCAGAAGAACAUAGUGUUAAACUGGGAGCUUUGGCAAAUAGUAAGUGAUGGAUAUCAGUUUGCCUAUUCUUUUGUGUUUUUGUUUAUUGUAUUCAGGUCUUACUUUUUCCUAGUCUUUCUAAUGUUCUGCUGUAGUUUUGCUUUGGUAUCCAGAUUUUGGAGAAAUAAAAUGUCAGUUAUAAUUGGAAAGGAGGGAUGGAAGUUGAGACAUUAUGGGCUAUAGGGAAGGAUUGUACAACAAAAAUUUUGCUUUAUAAAAGCAUUCUUUGCCUAUGUAAAAGAUGUAUUCUGGGUUCCUUUAAAAGAAAAUGAAUGCCUUUGAAAUACAAUGUGGGUCCAUUUUACUUUUACACCCCAACACAUAACAGCUUCUUCAAUACACAUGUCCACCUGCAUUCUGGCUGGAGCCCUGCCUUGUAGCUCCCUCCUUGCUUCCCACAUCUCUGCUUCUUCUGAUGUUUCUGAUUCUAGAACAGUCUACCCCUCUUCCUUCAUGCCCUGAGCUCUUCUUCAUGCAUGAGCUAACUCAGGUUCUGCCUCUCAGUGAAAUUUUGCCAUUUUUCCAUUCUCACUUUUUCUAUCCCUACUCUGAAACCUUUCAAUAUUUAUAGCUUCUUCCCAGUGCUGUCUCCCAACAACAGAACACCUUUCGUGACUCUAAUUUUUACAUAUCUAUAAGGAAUUCUAAGUUCCUUGAGAGUAAACAGCAUGCCUCAUAGUGUUCAAUAAAUGCUUGCUAACUGAUUUUUAUGGCUGUAUCAUUGGUUUCUGUAGUGGAAUACUACUCAGUGAUAAAAAAGAACAAAAUCCUGUCAUUUACAGCAUCAUGGAUGGAUUUGGAGGGCAUUAUGCUAAGUGAAAUAACUAAGAUAAAGACAAAUACUGUAUGAUAUCACUUUUCUGUGGAGUAUUAAAAAAAAGGGAGUUCCUAUUUUGCCUCAGUGGUAACAAACCUGACUAGUAUCCAUGAGGACAUGGGUUUGAUCCCUGGCCUUGCUCAGUGGAUCAAGGCUCUUGCGUUGCCAUGAGCUGUGGUGUAGGUCACAGACAUGGCUCGGAUCUGGCAUUGCUGUGCCUAUGGCGUAGGCUGGCAGCUGCAGCUCCAAUUCUACCCCUAGCCUAGGAGCUUCCAUAGACCACGGGUGUGGCCCUAAAAAACAAACAAACAAAACAAAACCAACACCCCAAACAAAACAAACUAGCGAAUAUUAAAAAAAAGAAUCAGACUCAAAGACAUAGAGAAGAAACUAGUGGUUACCAGUGGGAAGGAGUGGAGAGAGGCAGUAUAGGAGUGGGAAGUACAAACUACCGGGUGUAAGAUGGGCUCAAGGAUGUAUUGUACAACACAGGGAAUGUAGCCAAUAUUUUAUAAUAACUGUAAAUGGAAAGUAACCUUUAAAAUUAUAUAAACAUUUUAAAAAGGAAUAAAACAAACCAACAAGAAAAAACCCACAAAACCUCAAAUGCUUAUUUAGAAACUAACAGAAGGGAUUAACAUUUUCUGUAAAGAAUCAGAUAGUAAGUAUUUUAGGCUUUGUAGACCUGAGGAUCCCUGCUGCAACCUAGCUCUGCAACUGUAGAACAAAAGCAACUCUAGACAAUAUGUAAGCCAGUGGGUGUGGCUGUGUUUCUGUCAAAUUUCAUUUACAAAAUAGGUAGCAGAUGAGAUUUUGCUAGAUACUGAUUUAAAGCAUAUAAACACCUCUUUUAUAGAGUACCCGUUUUAACCUUUGAGUGACUAAGGUCGAGAAGUCAUUGUAAAUAAUAUGGGACACACGUCACAUUCACCAAAAAAAGUAUAUCAUAUCAGAGUUUCCCUGACAUGUCCCAAAACACCCCCAACAAUAUUUUGAUGGUUACUCAGAAUAUAAAAAUCAACUGAUGAGGAGUUCCCAUUGUGGCCCAGUGGAAAUGAAUCCGACUAGUAUCCAUGAGGAUGUGGGUUCGAUCCCUGGCCUUGCUAGCAGUGGAUCGGGGGUCUGGCAUUGCCGUGAGCUGUGGUGUGGGUCGCAGACAGGGCUAGGAUCCUGUGUUGUUGUGGCUAUGGUGUAGGCUGGCAGCUGUAGCUCUGAUUUGAUCCCUAGCCUGGGAACUUCCAUAUGCCACAGAUGUGGCCCUAAAAGCAAAUAGAAAAUAAAAAA
ensembl:lncRNA